UCCCUGGUGGCUCAGCUGGUAAAGAAUCUGCCUGCAAUGCGGGAGACCUGGGUUCGAUCCCUGGCUUGGGAA
rfam:TPA: Bos taurus chromosome 22, whole genome shotgun sequence.